ensembl:scaRNA
CAGUCAGGGAGCGCGAGCGUGGUGUUCCUGCGGGUGGGAGCGAGUGUGGUUUGGAGGCUAUGCUUGAACCGCGUCUGUAGCGUGUGUGUGUGUGUGUGUGUGUUAUGUGAGGCAUCGGGAGGUGUGUGUGUGUGUGUGUGGCCCUGCUCUGUAACGAUUACUUACCUUUUACACGUUGAUCUUAUUUGAUCGGGCCGAGAUGUCGCCGCCUUCCCGGCCUGAAAUGAAAAGAGCCGCUUCUGUGAAGCCCUUGGCGCUGUACAGAGAAGCUUAGGUUUAAUGGGCGUGCGGCAGUAUUGUCGGAGAUGAUGAAUUGAUCAGAUAGAUGAGGCUGGAGGUUUGGAAAAUUCCUCUUCCUAGCCAAUGUGUAUCGAAGCGAUUCUGAUCCGG